rnacentral:lncRNA from 1 species
UUUUCUCAGCCGUGGCUGAGCGGAGUCAAGGUAGUUUCAGAUUUAGGGUUCCUGUGAAGGAGAUGACUGAUGUUUUGGGCUUGCGGGUCUUGGACAAAUUAGGCUCACGUGAUUUUUAAACUAAGUAACCCUCCGGUACUUUUUUAAAAAGGCUCUUUCUAUUUACACCUCCAUUGCCCAAAGUACACCUCAUAUCCCUUUUCUACUCCUUUAUUACCCAUUAUACACUUAUUUUGAAAAUGUAUUUCUAAAACUAAUGUACUUAAAAAAUGGCGUGUAAAUAGAAAAAGCCUUUAUAAUGUAAUAAAGAUUCAAAUUGAUUUUUUUUUUAUUAUGUACUAAAACUCGGGUGAAUAUUUAAACUUCAAAGUCAUAUGUGACUUCGGCUUUCUUAUUUUAAAGGUAAAAUUGUACUUUUGGUCCCCCACUUUAGGUCAAAUUUUGUAUUUGGUCCCCCACUAAUUUAAUUCACAAAUUGGGUCUCCCUGUUUUAUAAAAUCCUGCAAGUCCUGGACGCUCAAUUAGACGUUGACCGUUAAGCUUAGACGUUGACUGCCACGUGCCAACGUUUGAGAAGCACUUGAAAUUGGUUGCAUUUUUUUUACCCAUUAGUGGUAAAUUGAUUUUUUUUUACGCUAAAAUACAACCUUAACUUUACUAUCAGCAUUCAACAGGUGUAUCAUAUGUGCAACAUGUCCAACAAAAGAACAAUAAGUCUACAAUUAAAUCCAACCAGCUCUGAAAUUCUCCAACAAGAAAAGAAACCAACGUGUAGCUUCCAUAGAAAGGGAUCUUCGUUUUAGUAGCAUUUUGCUUCAACUAAUCAAAAGCACCAGCUCUGAAUGUAUCCGCACACACCAGAGCAGGCUUCCACCCUUUCUUCUGAUGAUAAAACACGUAUUUUGUACACGUCGUCGUUUUACCAGAUCCUAAAACACACAAAACACAAGCAUUCAAUCAUCAUUCCAUUUUAGGCAUUGAUUUUGGUUUUCAGGGAAGAGAGACUUUUAUUUUUCUCAUCCCCUCUCACUCUCACUCAAGCCCCUCGUCGAUGUCGAGGAAAUUAUCAACGGCGGGUAAGGCUUUCUCUUUCUCCACGAUUUUGUCUGUGAUGAGAAUUAGGGUUGGGUGUUGAUUUUGGUUUUCAGGGAAGAGAGAUAGGGCUUCGAGGACGAGGUGGCAUGAGGCGCAGUCGACGAAGACUAGCGCGGAUUUCACAUGACGGAGGAUGACGGAGACGGUGCGGGCGUAGAGGCGGGUGUUGAUGUUGUUGAGAAUUGCGCCGGCGAAGUGGAGCUCGUACAUGACGGGGACGUUCAGGGCCAGGACGAAGACAACACUGCCACGACGGAUGCCGAGGGAGGAGAAGGCGAAGGUCAGCUGAAGGCAUCAAUGGCACGUGAAGGUGGUGUCAUUGUAGGUCAACAUCCAAUUGAGGCUUUAGGGACUGACAUUGUAGAAUUUUAUAAAACAGGGGGACCCAAUUUGUGAAUUAAAUUAGUGGGGGACCAAAUGCGAAAUUAGACCUAAAGUGGGAGACCAAAAUGCAAUUUUGCCUAUUUUAAAUGACAAAUGACCUAUUUGGUUUUUUUUUUCAAUUUUAUCUUUUUGAAAGUUAAUUUUAGUUUUUUAUGUUUAAAAAAAUAUCAAAAUAGUUUUUUUGUCAAUCUAAAGUUAACGUUGUUAAUGAAAAAAGAUAUUGAUGCUCAAAAGCCGCCACAAGAUGUAAGUUUUUUAUUUCUUCAUCUUUUCACUUCUCUUGCUCUCAUCCUUUCCUUUCUUCUUCUUCGCUAACAACAAUGGCAUCUUCAUCACCGACGAAAGCAACA